AUUGAACGCUGGCGGCAGGCUUAACACAUGCAAGUCGAGCGAGCGGCGGACGUGUGAGUAAUGUCUGGGAAACUGCCUGAUGGAGGGGGAUAACUGCUGGAAAAGGUAGCUAAUACCGCAUACCAUCAGAUGUGUCCAGAUGGGAUUAGCUAGUGGGUGGGGUAAUGGCUCACCUAGGCGACGAUCCCUAGCUGGUCCGAGAGGAUGACCAGCCACACUGGAACGGAGACACGGCCCAGACUCCUACGGGAGGCAGCAGUGGGGAAUAUUGCACAAUGGUCGCAAGCCUGAUGCAGCCACGCCGCGUGUGUGAAGAAGGCGUUCGGGUUGUAAAGCACUGUCAGUGAGGAGGCGUUACUCGCAGAGAAAGCACCGGCUAACUACGUGCCAGCCGCCGCGGUAAUAC
rnacentral:rRNA from 1 species